CCUCUUAUCUUGGCAUGGCAAAAACGGAUCGUGUCUUGCUGUGAAUUGCAAUAGAGGCAGAUUAUUCCUUAAAAGACGAACCUAUGCCUUCGGUGUCCAAGCCAACUCUUGCCUGGAUCCCAUCCUCAAUGGUUCAAACAAUC